rnacentral:ncRNA from 1 species
CCACGUCCCGACGCACUACCCCCCCCGGGCGCCGGGACCUUCCCAGAGCCGGGCUUCGGCGUCUCCCCCCGACGCCGGAGCCCGGCUCCUUU